CUUCACCCCUCGCCCUUCGCCCUUAGCCUUUGUCACUCGAAAACACUCAUCGAAUCCGCUCAUCGCACUGUUAAUCUUCGUCACUCGCCCUUAGCCCUUCACCCUUCUUCAUCUUGUUAAUCUUCAUUUUCGUCUUCCGCUCAUCGAAUCCGCUCAUUGCACUGUCUCCUACCUCGGCGACCUUAUGGCCUCCUUCAGUUCAAAGAUGUCCGUACUCUCUCUCUCUCUUUCAGCUCAAUGCAGAGAAGAGCCCUUUUCAGCGGACUUAUGUGACUCAGGAACUAUCCUCUGUUAAUGGCUACAUGGAAGGUUGCCCCUGCUCUGGCAGCUGGUUGUGCUGCAAUAUUGAAGCCUUCCGAAUUGGCAUCUGUGACAUGUUUGGAGUUGGCUGACAUAUGCAAAGAAUCUAAGAUGAAGCGCAUUGGAAUUGAUACUGAAGCACUCAAAGAGCACUUUGGGAAGAAAAUUAUGGAGCUUGAGGAGGAAAAAAGAAAAGUGCAGAUUUCUAAAGCAUGAUAGAUUCCUGUUGCAACUCUCAAACUGUCAAUCCCCGAGCCAGCGCCGUCGCAAUGGAGCAGACAUCCGUAGUGUGAUUUCCUCUGUGCAGAGGGUUGCCA